UUGUGGUAUGUGUGUUUGUCCAAGAAUAUGGUAGUUAUUAAAGUGAAGUAGAGAGUGGGGGAUGAGUGAAGAAGGAAGGAUGAGAGGAAGUGAAGUUUGAAGAAGAGAAGGGAAAAUGACGAUCGACGACGAUAGCUCCAUUUAUGUGGGAGGUCUCCCCUACGACGCCACCGAAGAAACCAUUCGCACUGUCUUUAAUUUGUAUGGUGCCAUCCUCGAUGUUAAGAUUAUCAACGACCAACGCACUAGGGGCAAGUGCUAUUGCUUUGUUACUUUCACAAACCCUAGGUCAGCAAUCGAUGCCAUCAACGACAUGAACGGCAGAACCAUUGAUGGGCGUGUGGUUAAGGUUAAUGGGGUGAGGGCUCGUGGGGGCAGGUCAAAUUUUGGCAGAGAGCGUUAUCAUUAUCAUAAUGAUGAGAGAAGUGGAGAUUGGGACCGCGGAAGAGAUCGAGAUUAUGAUCAUGAUAAUAAUGAUAGGGAUGGGUAUAGGAAUCGGGGCAGUGAUUGGACUCGAGACCGUGAUAGGUCUCGAGACCGGGAUCAGGACAGGGAUAGGAGAUUUGAGCAUAUGCAUGAUUAUGAUCAACCUAGAGAACCUAUUUUAGAUAAUGAUUGGAGUCGAGAGGAUGAUAGAGUUGAACAUGAACACGAACACAGCCGGGGGCGUGAUGAUGAUGUGGAUAGAGACCACAAUUUAGAUAUGGAUACAGGCCGAAAAAUGGAUAGGACCAGUGAUCUUGAUAGAAGUUUCGAUGAGGAUACAAAAGAUCAGUCGAGGAGAAUGAAUGAUUUGAAUGCUACAAAUGAAAAUAGUAUGGAUCUUUCAUCUGAUUCAGCUGGGACUCCCAAUGAUCAGGUAGAAGCUCAAUUAGAGAGGUCAACCCAACAGCUUGAUCAACUGAAAAAGGAGGUUUCUCAGAUGGAAGAGGGAUUGGAGAAGAAAAGACUCCAUGUUAAAGAAUUACAAAAGCAAUCUAAGAAACUGGAGGAUGCACUGAUCAAUGCAAAGAAAAACUCUUCGUAUCGUCAGAUGCAGUUGAUAAAGCUGCAUAAAUGUUUUCGGCAAGUGAAAGAUUACACAGAGCGACUUAAAACUAGUGAAAAAGAACUUCAGAUUGGGGUGGAAACACAACGGAUAGAAGAUCCACUGGAGCUUUCUUGAUCUAUUUUGGCCCAAUGCCAUAUCCUAGUCAUGCAAAAAGCAACCCACAGUUGCCCGAUCUUCUACUUAGGCAGAGUACUGCACAAUUUCCCCCACCACUGUUGAAGUUCUCUGGCUGCAACAAUUACUCCAUGAACUUGGAGUUUCUAUCUCCACACCAACAAUCUUUUAUGAUAAUAUUGGAGCUACCUACCUAUGUGCUAAUCUUGUAUUUCAUUCACGGAUGAAACAUGUCGCCAUAGAUUUUCACUUUGUUCAUGAAUUAGUUGCAGAAAAGAAGCUCAAUGUUUCACAUGUUCCUACUAGUCACCAGCUUGCCGACUUACUCACCAAGCCACUUUCAUCUUCACAACAUCACUUUCUCAAAUCCAAGAUCGGCGUUAUUGAAGAUACCUCGAUCUUGCGGGGGCAUGUAGGAGUACUAACGUCCAGUGAAAUAAAGCAGAGGACCUUGUUAAUCAUCAGCUACCAGGCAGUGGUGCAGUUGGCUAAAGAGCCAUGGGAUCUUCAAAGUAAAACUAAUGGCUUGGAUGCUCUGUUUCAUGGCCUAAAAUACUGCCGGAACAGAGCAAUAGAGAAGAAUGGAAGCACUCACAUAUUUGUGUUUGACCCAGGAGGAUUAAAAGUUAAUUGGGCUGUAGUGGUUCUGUUGGCUUGGACAUUCUGCUUUUAACAACUAGAACACAUAUGGGACUUUAUAUCAGAAGCCAGCUGUUCACCUUGGGGACAAUAUGGUGAAUCAUUUUUUUUUGGGGUAGUAUUGAUAAGUCUUUUAGUUGAGGGCCUUAGUUAAGUCUUAGUGAGUAACGUGGGCUGACAACAUAUAUAAAUAUGAAGAGUGGUUGAGAAGGUAGUUAUUCAUUGUGUGGGAGUUUGUAAAGGAAUUUACAGAGACUUGUACCUCCUGAAAUCCAGUUUUUGCUUUGUUCAUGAUUCUGAAACCACGUUGAGCCAGGAUUGGGAAUUGGGGUUCUUAAUAAAACUCAUUCCUUCAUUUAUAUCU